rnacentral:rRNA from 1 species
AUUGAACGCUGGCGGCAGGCCUAACACAUGCAAGUCGAGCGGAUGGAGGGAGCUUGCUCCUGGAUUCAGCGGCGGACGGGUGAGUAAUGCCUAGGAAUCUGCCUGGUAGUGGGGGAUAACGUCCGGAAACGGGCGCUAAUACCGCAUACGUCCUGAGGGAGAAAGUGGGGGAUCUUCGGACCUCACGCUAUCAGAUGAGCCUAGGUCGGAUUAGCUAGUUGGUGGGGUAAAGGCCUACCAAGGCGACGAUCCGUAACUGGUCUGAGAGGAUGAUCAGUCAAACUGGAACUGGGAAACGGUCCAGGCUCCUAACGGGAGCAGGCGUGGGGAAUUUUGGAACAUUGGCCGAAGGCUGAUCCCAGCCAGGCGGGUGGUGGGAAGAAGUUUUCGGGAUGUUAAACACUUUUAGUUGGGAAGAAAGGGCGGAAAUUUAAUACUUGGUGGUUUGGACUUACCAAACAGAAUAGCACCGGCUAACUUCGUG